GUUGGAAUGAAACCAAAUAUAGUAUCUGAUACCUAUCUCACAAAAGUUAUCUGUACAAAAAGAAUGAAUCAAAAUAGAAAGCAAGGAAUAGUUUGCAUGGGGGAGCAGUUGCUGCAAUAAGCAACCAAUUUACAGUAAUUCAGUGUAUAAAUUAUCCAAGUAAAAAAAAAGCCAAAAACAAAUGGUCCUAUUUUUUAAAUUUUCUUUCUUGGUUUAUCCUUAAUGUCAGGCCUCUGAGCCCAAGCUAAGCCAUCAUGUCCCCUGUGACCUGCACAUACACAUCCAGAUGUCUGGUUCCUGCCUUAACUGAUGAUAUUCCACCACAAAAGAAGUGAAAAUGGCCUGUUCCUGCCUUAACUGAUGACAUUGUCUUGUGAAAUUCCUUCUCCUGGCUCAUCUGGCUCAAAAGCUCCCCUACUGAGCACCUUGGGACCCCCACUCUGCCCACCAGAGAACAACCCCCCUUUGACUGUAAUUUUCCUUUAUCUACCCAAAUCCUAUAAAACGGCCCCACCCGUAUCUCCCUUCUCUGACUCUCUUUUCGGACUCAGCCCACCUGCACCCAGGUGAAAUAAACAGCCUUGUUGCUCACACAAAGCCUGUUUGGUGGUCUCUUCACACAGACACACAUGAAAUUUGGUGCCAUGACUCGGAUUGGGGGACCUCCCUUGGAAGAUCAAUCCCCUGUCCUCCUGUUUUUUGCUCCAUGAGAAAGAUGCACCUAUGACCUCAGGUCCUCAGACUGACCGGCCCAAGAAACACCUCACCAAUUGCAAAUCUGGUAAGCAGCCUCUUUUUACUCUCUUCUCCAACCUCCCUUACUAUCCCUCAACCUCUUUCUCCUUUCAAUCUUGGUGCCACACUUCAAUCUCUCCCUUCUCUUAAUUUCAAUUCCUUUCAUUUUCUGGUAGAGACAAAUGAGACACAUUUUAUCGGUGGACCCAAAACUCCAGCGCCGGUCACGGACUGGGAAGGCAGCCUUCCCUUGGUGUUUAAUCAUUGCAGGGAUGCCUCUCUGAUUAUUCACCCACAUUUCAGAGGUGUCAGACCAUGCAGGGACACCUGUCUUGGUCCUUCACCCUUAGCAGCAAGUCCUGCUUUUCUGGGGAAGGGGAAAGUACCCCAACCCCUUCUUUCCAUGUCUUUACCCCUUCUCUGCUUUUCUGGGGGAGGGGCAAGAACCCCUCAACCCCUUCUCCUUCACCCUUAGCAAGUCCUGCUUUUCUAGGGGGCAAGAACACCCAAUCCCUUAUUUCUGCACCUCAACCUCUUAUCUCUGCACCCCAAUCCAUUAUUUCCACUCCCCAGCCUCUUAUCUCUGUGCCCUAACCCCUUCUGUGCCCCGAACCCUUUCUCACUUUUCUGGAGGGUAAGAACCCCCAAACCCCUUCCAUCCAUGCCUCUACUCCCUCUUUUCUCUGGGCUUGCCUCCUUCACUAUGGGCAACCUUCCACCCUCCAUUCCUCCUUCUCCCUUAGCCUGUGUUCUCAAGAACUUAAAAUCUCUUUAACUCACACCUCACCUAAAACCUAAAUGCCUUAUCUUCUUCUGCAACACUGCUUGGCCCCAGUACAAACUUGAAAAUGACUUUAAUGGCCAGAAAAUGGCACUUUCGAUUUCUCCAUCCUACAAGACCUAAAUAAUGUUUGUUGAAAAGUGGGCAAACGGUCUGAGGUGCCUGACGUCCAGGCAUUCUUUUGCACAUUGGUCCCUCCUUAGUCUCUGUGCCCAGUGCAACUCCUCCCAAAUCUUCCUUCUUUCCCUCCCACCUGUCCCCUCAGCCCCAACCCCAAGCGUUGCUGAGUCUUUCUAAUCUUCCUUUUCUACAGACCCAUCUGACCUCUCCCCUCCUCACCAGGCCAAGCUAGGUCCCAAUUCUUCCUCAGCCUCUGCUCCUCCACCCUAUAAUCCUUUUAUCACCUCCCCUCCUCACACCCAGUCCAGCUUACAGUUUUGUUCCGUGACUAGCCCUCUCCCACCUGCCCAGCAAUUUACCCUUAAAAAGGUGGCUGGAGCUAAAGGCAUAGUCAAGGUUAAUGUUCCUUUUUCUUUAUCCCAAAUCAGAUAGCAUUUAGGCUCUUUUACAUCAAAUAUAAAAAUCCAGCCCAGUUCAUGGCUCAUUUGGCAGCAACCCUGAGAUGCUUUACAGCCCUAGACCCUAAAAGGUCAAAAGGCUGUCUUAUUCUCAAUAUACAUUUUAUUACCCAAUCUGCUCCCAACAUUAAAUAAAAUGCCAAAAAUUAAAUUCCAGCCCUCAAACCCCACAACAGGACUUAAUUAACCUCACCUUCAAGGUGUACAAUAAUAGAGUAGAGGCAGCCAAGUAGCAACAUAUUUCUGAGUUGCAAUUCCUUGCCUCCACUGAGACAAAUCCCAGCCUCAUCUCCACCACACAAGAACUUCCAAAUGCCUGAACCACAGCAGCCAGGCAUUUCUCCAGAACCACCUCCCCCAGGAGUUUGCUACAAGUGCCAGAAAUCUGGCCAUCAGGCCAAGGAAUGCCCGCAGCCUGGGAUUCCUCCUAAGCCAUGUCCCAUCUGUGCAGGACCCCAUUGAAAAUUGGACUGUUCGACUCACCUGGCAGCCACUCCCAGAGCCCCUGGAACUCUGGCCUAAGGCUCUCUGACUGACUCCUUCCCAGAUCUUCUCGGUUUAGCGGCUGAAGACUGACACUGCUGGAUUGCCUCAGAAGCCCCGUAGACCAUCAUGGAUGCCGAGCCUUAAGUAACUCUCACAGUGGAGGAUUCAAGAGAAUCAAAAUAUACUGCAUGAAAACAACCAAUUAAACAAAGAAGUUGUGAGAACACUGUAUUCCAAGAAAGAACUACUAACUGUAAUGGAGUCUGAUUUCAAGGUACAUGGGUGUGGUGAUAGUUACAAAGCUAUGCAGAUUUACAGAUACAUGGUUAGAGAGAACCUUGAAGGAGAAAGUACCAAGAGUCUGGGUGAACCCGAGAAAAAUGGAAAAAUCUCAUUAAAGAAUAGUGGCAUGGUGAUGUUUUUUUUAUUGUGUGGGUCAAGGAAAUAUUUGGAUUAACCAUGCUAUUAUGAUUAUCUUCACGAGUAAGCAAUUUGCUGGAUAUAACAGGCAAAAUCUGAACUAUGUAAAGAUGCCCUUUGUACCUAUAACCAUAUUCCUCUUUCAGCAGGAGAUGAAGAAAAGCAAUAACAUAACAAAACUGAGUGAUGAAAUGCUGCUCCUUUUUACUUUGGAUAUUGAGAACUAUGAAACAAAUUGAAGAGAGGGGGCUAUAAACGUGAAAAGAAAUUUUGAUAAAACUGGAUAUAUUCUCUGUUGUAUUUCUAAGAAGUUGGAGCCAAUGCCAGAAGAGAAAUGUGAAAAGCUCUUCAAAGAAUGAGAAAAAUAAA
rnacentral:lncRNA from 10 species